rnacentral:rRNA from 1 species
AUUGAACGCUGGCGGCAUGCUUUACACAUGCAAGUCGAACGGUAACAGGCCGCAAGGUGCUGACGAGUGGCGAACGGGGGAGUAAUGCAUCGGAACGUGCUCAGUCGUGGGGGAUAACGCAGCGAAAGCUGCGCUAAUACCGCAUACGAUCUAUGGAUGAAAGCGGGGGACCGUAAGGCCUCGCGCGAUUGGAGCGGCCGAUGUCAGAUUAGGUAGUUGGUGGGGUAAAGGCUCACCAAGCCAACGAUCUGUAGCUGGUCUGAGAGGACGACCAGCCACACUGGGACUGAGACACGGCCCAGACUCCUACGGGAGGCAGCAGUGGGGAAUUUUGGACAAUGGGCGCAAGCCUGAUCCAGCAAUGCCGCGUGCAGGAAGAAGGCCUUCGGGUUGUAAACUGCUUUUGUACGGAACGAAACGGCUCUGGUUAAUACCUGGGGCUAAUGACGGUACCGUAAGAAUAAGCACCGGCUAACUACGUGCCAGCCGCCGCAGUAAAAC